UACGUAGCGUGCGAGCGUUAAUCGGAAUUACUGGGCGUAAAGCGUGCGCAGGCGGCUCUAUAAGACAGAUGUGAAAUCCCCGGGCUUAACCUGGGAACUGCGUUUGUGACUGUAGGGCUUGAGUGCGGCAGAGGGGGGUGGAAUUCCACGUGUAGCAGUGAAAUGCGUAGAGAUGUGGAGGAACACCGAUGGCGAAGGCAGCCCCCUGGGUCGACACUGACGCUCAUGAACGAAAGCGUGGGGAGCAAACAGG
rnacentral:rRNA from 1 species